UACGAAGGGGGCUAGCGUUGUUCGGAAUUACUGGGCGUAAAGCGCACGUAGGCGGAUCGAUCAGUCAGGGGUGAAAUCCCAGGGCUCAACCCUGGAACUGCCUUUGAUACUGUCGAUCUGGAGUAUGGAAGAGGUGAGUGGAAUUCUCGGUGUAGAGGUGAAAUUCGUAGAUAUCGAGAGGAACACCGGUGGCGAAGGCGGCCAACUGGACGAAGACUGACGCUGAGGAGCGAAAGCGUGGGGAGCGAACAGG
rnacentral:rRNA from 1 species